CCGGCUCAGGACGAACGCUGGCGGCGUGCUUAACACAUGCAAGUCGAGCGAUGAAGCACCUUCGGGUGUGAAUUAGCGGCGAACGGGUGAGGAACACGUGAAGAAUCUGCCUUCAACUCUGGGAUAACUCCGGGAAACCGGGGCUAAUACCGGAUAUGAGCCUUGAUCGCAUGAUCGGGGCUGGAAAGUUUUUCGGUUGAAGAUGACUUCGCGGCCUAUCAGCUUGUUGGUGAGGUAAUGGCUCACCAAGGCGACGACGGGUAGCCGGCCUGAGAGGGCGACCGGCCACACUGGGACUGAGACACGGCCCAGACUCCUACGGGAGGCAGCAGUGGGGAAUUUUGGACAAUGGGGGCAACCCUGAUCCAGCAAUGCCGCGUGAGUGAAGAAGGCCUUCGGGUUGUAAAGCUCUUUUGUCAGGGAAGAAACACCGGCUCUAACACAGUCCGGGAAUGACGGUACCUGAAGAAUAAGCACCGGCUAACUACGUG
rnacentral:rRNA from 1 species